rnacentral:rRNA from 1 species
GACGAACGCUGGCGGCGUGCUUAACACAUGCAAGUCGUGCGGUAAGGCCCUUUCGGGGGUCCACGAGCGGCGAACGGGUGAGUAACACGUGAGCAACCUGCCCUUCACUUUGGGAUAACUGCCGGAAACGGUGGCUAAUACCGGAAAUGACUUCCUCACGCAUGUGGGGUGGUGGAAAGCCUUCGGGUGGUGGGGGAUGGGCUCGCGGUCUAUCAGCUUGUUGGUGGGGUGAUGGCCUACCAAGGCUUCGGCGGGUAGCCGGCCUGGGAGGGUGACCGGCCACACUGGGACUGAGACACGGCCCAGACUCCUACGGGAGGCAGCAGUGGGGAAUAUUGGACAAUGGGCGAAAGCCUGAGCCAGCAGCGCCGCGUGAGGGAUGACGGCCUUCGGGUUGUAAACCUCCUUCGCCUGCGACGAAGCGAGAGUGACGGUAGCAGGUAAAGAAGCACCGGCCAACUACGUG